AUGGGCAACGGCUACCUGAAGGCCCAGCCCCUCACGCCCACUCCAGGACAUGGUCCUGAUGCCCAACCUGGACACAGUGGCCUCCCUGCAGCCCCCAGACAUGCCAGGCAGCAGCCGCCACCGCCCCAGCUGGGAACAGACCAAUCCACCAUGCCUGAAGUCAAAGACCUUUCAGAAGCUUUGCCAGAGACGUCGAUGGAUCCCAUCACGGGGGUGGGGGUGGUGGCUUCUCGGAACUGAGCCCCAACAGGCUAUGAUGUAGUUGCACAGACAGCAGAUGGUGUGGACGCUGACCUCUGGAAAGACGGCUUAUUUAAAUCCAAGGUUACCAGAUACCUGUGUUUCACGAGAUCAUUUUCCAAAGAAAAUAGUCAUUUAGGGAACGUGUUAGUGGAUAUGAAGCUCAUUGACAUCAAGGACACUCUGCCUGUAGGCUUCAUCCCAAUUCAGGAGACGGUGGACACACAGGAAUUGGCUUUUAGAAGAAAGAGGCUGUGCAUUAAAUUUAUCCCACGGGAUUCAACUGAAGCUGCAAUUUGUGACAUUCGGAUCAUGGGCCGGACCAAGCAGGCCCCUCCUCAGUACACGUUUAUUGGGGAACUGAACAGCAUGGGGAUCUGGUAUCGAAUGGGCAAAGUACCGAGGAAUCAUGAUUCAUCUCAACCCACAACACAUUCCCAGUCAUCAGCUGCUUCCACCCCAGCCCCCAAACUCCCCAGGCACAUCUCACUAAUGCUCCCUGCUACCUUCCGAGGCAGGAACAGCACUCGGGCUGACUAUGAGUACCAGCACUCCAAUCUGUAUGCCAUAUCAGACCCUGAGAGCUUCCAUGUGUCUAGCCCCAUGUUCCCUCCUGAGGACCACAGGAAGCUGGUGGAAGAAGGGUCAGCAGGUGACCGAUGGGGCAUCUGGAGUCCGAAGCACGUGUGGCCAUCCCACCAGAGACUCUGUGAAUGACCACACAGGUUGCGC